UGAAGAGGCAGGAAUGUAGUGUGACUGCUUAAUGGGUGUAGGGUUCUUAAUGGGUUUGGAGAAAAUGGAAAUGUUCCAGAAUAACACAUUGGUAAUGGUUGACUGACACUUAUGUCAUCUGCGAUGUUAACACUGAGGAGAGCUGUGCUUCCCUGGCACUUCCUGCAUGCCACUGCUCUGAGAGCUUUGCAUAUUUUACCUCCUUUAACCUUACAACAACCUCGUGGGUGUCCAAUAGCAGCAGUGCAAUUUCCGAAUGAAGGUUAUAGAGUCAAGGUGUGACAGCUUCCCAAUUAGGAAAGCUUCUGCUUCUGGGCCACUUUGGGCCUCCCCAAAAGCUACAUCUGAAUCAGAAGAGAAUCGUCCAUCACAUAUCAGUGCUUCUGCGGAGGAUCAGUGCCAGGGAAGCCCACACUGGCUCCAGGCUGGUCUCCGGUCUAACGACAUCCCGUCUCCAGUGAGUCCUGACCUACUUCCUCUUUCACAGGUUUCUAUUUCCCGAUGAUCAAACAACCACAUAAUCAGCUCUGUCAAGUUCUCCACUCGUUGAAUCUACCUGCCUUCUGGGUUCAGACGCAAAGCUCUCCAUCCUCCGCGCGCGGCUCCACCCUGUUCUCAAUCCUGCGUGUGAGGCCAUUUGAAUGAGGAACUUGGUUCAGGCCUCAGCUACAGAACAUUAAUAUUCAUGGCUAGUACUUGUAAAAAACCUUUAUUUCCAUCUUUUGUUUCUGUUGAGGGAGGGGUGUCUUCAAAUGGCCAGAAAUUCCCAAUUCCUGUUUAUUCUAUCCAGGCCUCUAUUCUCAG